rnacentral:rRNA from 1 species
UACAGAGGUCCCAAGCGUUGUUCGGAUUCACUGGGCGUAAAGGGUGCGUAGGUGGUGAGGUAAGUCGGAUGUGAAAUCUCCGGGCUCAACCCGGAAAUGGCAUUGGAAACUACCUUGCUAGAGGAUUUGAGGGGGGAUUGGAAUACUUGGUGUAGCAGUGAAAUGCGUAGAUAUCAAGUGGAACACCAGUGGCGAAGGCGAAUCCCUGGACCUGUACUGACGCUCAUGCACGAAAGCGUGGGGAGCAAACAGG